rnacentral:misc_RNA from 1 species
CGGGAGCUGAAGGGCUUGCAGGGCGCUCUCUAGGCUCUCACGCUCAAACCGAGGGGCCGCUCUGCCGGCACUGAGCAAGAUGCGACAAUGUACGUAUUGCACAAUGCA